rnacentral:rRNA from 1 species
UUGGUCAAUGGACGGAAGUCUGAACCAGCCAUGCCGCGUGAAGGAUGAAGGCGUUCUGCGUUGUAAACUUCUUUUAUCUGGGAAGAAACCACAGAUUUCUAUUUGUGUUGACGGUACCAGAGGAAUAAGCACCGGCUAGCUCCGUGCCAGCAGCCGCGGUAAUACGGAGGGUGCGAGCGUUAUCCGGAUUUACUGGGUUUAGAGGGUGCGUAGGCGGGCUAUUAAGUCAGAGGUGAAAUCUCCGGGCUCAACCUGGAAACUGCCCUGGAUACUCGUAGCCUUGAAUUAUGUUGAGGUUGGAGGAAUAUAACAUUUAGCGGUGAAAGGCUUAGAUAUGUUAUGGAACACCGAUUGCGAAGGCAGCUAGCUAAACAUAUAUUGACGCUUAUGCACGAAAGCUUGGGUAGCGA